UAUUUAUUACAAGGACGUGACCUACCAAGCUGACAUUCUCUAAGGAUGUUACAAUGUUAUUACAGCACUUUUCAAUGUUAGACUGAACACAAGGGCAAAGCAGUUUACAGAUAACUGAACUUAUGAUUCAUCACAUGGAUGUUUUUUUUACAAUAUACUGAAUAAGCAUCUUGCAAUCUACCCAAAUCAACCCACCUUCUCAACACAGUCUGUGUGUGCUGGUGAACAUAGCGGAUGGCGAAGCAACUUAUAGACUCAAAACUUUGAAAAA